rnacentral:rRNA from 2 species
CUGGCCGUAAACGAUGAAUGCUAGGUGUGGGUGUCGAGAGGCAUCCGUGCCGGAGUUAACGCGAUAAGCAUUCCGCCUGGGGAGUACGGUCGCAAGAUUGAAACUCAAAGGAAUUGACGGGGGCCCGCACAAGCGGUGGAGCACGUGGUUUAAUUCGAUGCAAACCGAAGAACCUUACCUAGGUUUGACAUGUACGUGGUACGGAUCUGAAAGGAGAAGGACCUAGCCUUCGGGCAAGGAGCGUACACAGGUGC